GUGUUUGCGAGCAGGUUGCGUCAGUCUGUGUGAGUGUGCCUAAGCUUGCGGUCUUCUGUGUAAAUAUGUGUUUUUAGUCAACAUAUAGGACUUAGCGUUUUUAGGUGUGAUAUUUUGAGCUAUAAUGUGAUGUGUUAUAGCCUCAAACAAUGUCAUCUUAGAUCACGGACGGAAACAACAUUUAAAUACGAACGAACGAACGACCAAACGGACUAUUAAUACUGUGUUCAUUGUUUAAAAUGACUCUGAACGCGCCCUAAGAGAAAGAGACGGAGCUGGUUACCAAAAUAGCGCGUUCAGAAAUAGAAAAAAAAUGGCCUCAGUUGGUGGCGGGACGGCGGCGGGCACGGAACGCUCGUGGUGGACGACAACAUGGAGCGCCAUGGCUGACCUCGCCGAGGCCGUCGACGAUCUGAUAUGCAGCUUCGAUUAUAUGGACACAGCCAUGGAUAACCUAGUCAUGCUUAUCUUCAUCUGGCUACUUUUCUCCAUAGUCCUUCUCGGCAUAGCGAAAUGGGCUUACAGCCGCUUCAAGCCCAAAGCUGUUGAAUCAGAAAAGCCAAAAGAAGAACCUAAAUCAACGAAAUCUACGGCUAGUGAGAUCGUUAACAGCGCUGAUACAGUGUUGGCUACUACGGCUAAAGUUAAAAGUGCUACGUUUAACUCGUUCAAGCCGAAGCCUAGUGGAUUUGUGCCAGCUACACCGCCAAAUAAGCGCCGUUUAGGACGCAUGUCCCCUGGCCCCGAAGCUUUGCACAAGAAGCACCAAAGCGUCAUAGUACCGACGUGCACGGGCCCCGAUCCGCCGAGCGUACAGUGGGUGAACGACUUGUUGACGUGGUUAUAUAAUGAUCUGGUUAUUGUGAACGAACUAGUGCAGCAAUGGAUUGUGUCCAUGAACGAGUUUUCGAAGAAGUCCGUGGAGGAGCAAGGCAUCGGAGUGGAGCUGGUGCGCGCGUUGGACAGCAAUCCGCCCAACGUGUCCAACGUGUUCUGCGAGUGCGACUCUAAGGACGACGUGACCAUCACGUGUGACUGCGAGGCAACACCGGCCUUCCAGCUCAAAACCUUCAGCCAACGAGGGGAGAAGGUGGAGGUGUCGCACUAUCGAGUUAAUGUUAACAGGUUCCGUGCUCGCCUCAACGUAGUCUGCAUAACAGAAAAGUUGACGGGAGAACUACGAUGCGACGGUUGGCCAGAGGUCAAAGUGGCGCUGGCCGCCGUGGGACCACUGAAGACGUCCUCCAAUGAGGCAAACCUACAGCAACUUGUCAGCGACAUCGUGGUGAAUGCGCUGCGAAGCACGCAGCUAUCGUUUAAUUUAUCCCACUACCCCACGUGUCCGAGGCUGCGAAGACACUUUGACACGUCGCCGCGGUUGCCCCUCCACUAUGAUUCCAUGUUGUCACACGACCGGAUGUACGCGUCGACGCCCAUAUCGGCGUCCAUGUCCAACGUGCAUCUCGGCGAGAAGAGGCUGCUCGUCAAAGUCGUCGGAGCUAAGGACUUGGGAGGCAAGGCGGGCUGCAGCGCGCCAUACUGCGUGGUUGAGAUGGACGAGCCCCCGCAGAAGAACCAGACCGCCUUUAAGAAGGACACUAACCAACCACAGUGGGAAGAACAUUUUCUAUUUGAUCUCUCGCCGCAAACCGCGGAGUUGCUGUUCGAGGUGUACGACCGCACGGGCCCGCCUUCCCCCGGCGGAGGCCCUUCCACACACAGAUUCCUCGGACUGGGUCUGGUGGGUAUAGACGAGUUGCUGGCGGCACCUUCGCAGCGGCAACAGAUCGCGCUGCAGACGCGGCCUAUGGAGGAGCAUGAUAUCUCUGGCACGCUCACCGUUGAGUUCCUAUUCAUCGAGGGUGCAGACAUCCCGGACCUGGCCUCGCGGCCCGUGAAGAUCAAGGAGUCGCUCCGCACGCUGUCGCCGCGCGGACUCCUCACCACCACCACCAAGACUGUCUUCAAACAGAACGGACACGAGAACUCGGCACUAACAGAGUCGGCGCUCCGAGAGCUGGAGCUGAGCCCCGCCGGCGCCGCCAACAAGUCCACCCUCAUCAUACACUCCGUGCAGCGGGUCGAACUAACCGACUCCGGUAAAUUCAUCGAAGUGGAACGAGAAGAUACACUAAACAGCGUGGACUCAGCCGACCUCACCAGCACCACUAUGGAAAGCAUAGACGAGAACAGAACAGAACAGCAUGUGUCGCCGAAUUCGUCGCCGGCGCGGCAAGUUAGGAUCAAGGAAAAUGGCGCGAAGACGAACGGAGAUACGGAGCAAGGAGACUAUGUCCAAAAACCCGAGGAGGCACCCCCGGAGCCUGCACCGCGGCAGAAGAGAAAGAGAGACUUCUUUGGAACCAUUAAAAGAAGGCUGGGCCGGUCGCGCACGCGCGGUACGUCGCUGGACCUGCCGAGCGACAGCGACGUCGACCAGAGUCGGGUCCGCAGCAUCAGCGCUGAGAGAAACCACCACGAUAAAGCACUUUCCAUCCCCAAUAGAAACGUAUACUCAGCGGGCGCGUCACCGGCGCAAUCUGGCGACGAGUCGAGGACAUCAAGAAGAUCCUCCCUCAGCGAGAUGUCCGGGUUCAGCACGGCGUCGGCGCGCACGUUCGUGCACGAGGCGUCCACGUUGGUGCUGGAGACCCUGGAGGCCGGCAUCCGGAAGCACUACCUGGUGCCGCUGGCCGUGGCCCAGCGCUCGAGGUGGCGGCGGAAGGGCGUGAAGCUGCACAUUUACAACGAGCACACGUUCAUCGCUAAGCAUUUGAGCGGCGGCACGGUGUGCGAGGUCUGCCAGAAGACGAUCGCGCGGCGGCUCGGCAAGCAGGGCUACGAGUGCCGCGACUGCGCGCUGCGCUGCCACAAGCACUGCCACGUCCAGGCCGCCGCCGCCUGCCCGGCGUCCUCCGUGCACAAUAUGGAGCUAUCCAUGCUUCCAGUGCUAAACGAAUAGCGAGCCGCGAGAAGACUGCAAGAAAAGAAACUUUUAUAAACCAAGCAAUUUCCACUAAGGUUUAACUCGGCAAGUUUGGCUUACAUUUCAUCUCCGUACACCGACAAGAAUAUAAGGAUGUUGUGAUUGUUCAGACUAUUGAGACUAUAUUAAAACGCUUCGAUGCACAAAACAUUAAGUUUUACCAACAAAUAAAUUAUACUAUCUGUUAUAAACCUGUCGACAAACAUAGGUAUAUCUUAUUAUGCUAAUAUUAAGAGAAGAUCUCUUAACAUAAUUCAUAAACUGCAGUUUCUUUUGCUUCUGUUGUCCUAUACCGUAUCAACGUCAUUUAAGGAUGUAUCAUAACUUAUAAAUGAAUUAUAAGUUUCUAAAUGUAUGAAAAUUACAAAUCUCUUGAUUAGGUAAAUAUACCGAGAACAGAACGAUAUGGAAAUAAUACAAAUCUAUUACGGCACCUUGACUUUUUCUCUUAAAUAAGCAUAAUCUAUUAAUGUCGACAAGUUUAUAAACUGAUUAUAAAACCACAAAUCUCUCUAAGUACAACACUUAUGUACGCUUCUGUACUUUGUAUAUGUAUAGGCUUUUUUACAAAUAUAUUUACAAUAUUAAUGUUAUAAACUAGUUUAUAAGGUAUUAGUUGUUCAGACUGCCAGGGAGGGUAACGUUCGUAAUAAACUGUGUCAUAGCAAAGCCGACCUUGACUAAUGGAUAUAAGAUUAAAAAUUGAACAUUAUCCAUUGAUAUUGAUACCCGCUUUCUUUGGUAAAAUUAGAAUUAGUUUAGGUAUCGCUAGAGCCCACCCAGCAUUGAAAGUAAUCUAAAAACCACUUAACUCAGACGGUUGGCGAGGUUAGGUUUGGUUCUAAUUAUAAAUAUAUAUUUUUUUCUUUAACAAAAACCAGUUGACGAAGCCAAACAUUGAAACACACUGUUAUCAAUUCAGUUCAGUUCAGUUUAUUUAUUCAAGAACAAUUUACAUUGUGUUUGAAUAUAUCACUGUCAACCGUCUGGAUUAAGCGUUAGACCUAUACCAAUCUGGCUGAGUGCAAAUGAUCUUCGCGGUUACAGACCAAUGUCAGCCUUCUUUCAUCCCGACAAGGUUCAUAAUCACUUAAUGACGUGCCGCACACUAAGGGUUAAUCUAAGUAUUAUAACAAUCAUAUUGUGAGACCUCUAAAAUGUUUCUAAUAGUGUGCUCAGCUGAUGAAAAAAUGUUAAAAUGUACCCAGGUCGAUUUGUUUUAUUUUGGAUUUAAUUUUGUAGUGAAUUAACUUUAUAUAUUCAUAUUAAUGCCGCCAAUUUCAACUAUACGUUUUACUAAAGUUACGAUUUCAUAAAAUUUAUUCUGUAGAAAAUUUAAUCGAAAAUAUCAACAAAGUUCUGGACCUGUCUCACCUUAUGAAAUGCGAGCACUCAGCCAAAGACCCGUUUAAAAAGCCAGCCAAAAUAUAUAACAGAGAUGUUUCUAUUUAUCUCUACCUCAAACCUAAAAAAAAUUAGUUACCAAAAUAUACAUCACAUGUUUGUUAAUUUAUGUUAUCUAACUUAAAUAAGGUCCUACGGAGGAAUUGUGACAAAUGGUAAAUUAAACCUUAAACUUAGUGUACUAAGUGCUAUUUUGCACAUAUUGUGAUCUGAUAUGUUAAAGUGCAAUAAUUAAUACUUAAAACAUUCACUCUCGCUUCGCUUUCAUCGUUACUUAACUACAAAGAUGAACUCCAAAAAGUGACUUAUGUAAGUAGGUACUUAUCGAUAUAUAUAUAUGUUUAAAAUAUUCCACUUUAACUCGAAUAAUUUAUAAAAAAAGAACCUUGUGUAAACCCAUCAUGUCAAAGGCACAUAAAAAUCUAAAAAUAGCUACCUAUUGAGCCAUUGAACACUAUUCGUCUUAUGCAAUUAUCAUGGGUGCAAGCGAGCUAAUAUGGACCUUACACGAAAGCAUUAAGGUUACAUUGACAGCGUUCGUCAGAAUCGUUUUUGGGCGGCGUGAACACAUUUACUGUCGGCUUUAGGUGUUUUUGAUACCUAAAAAAACGGUGAAAUCGGAGCUAUUUUAUCGAGACCCUUUGACAUGAUUACAGUAGCUUAGACCUUCAGAAUCUCAUUUCUCAAAUGACUUAGUACUCCUGAAAAUAGGGAGAUAGCUUGACAUUUUCAGUUGGUAUUUUCAGAAGUGAUUUAUCACUAAUGUAUGAUAAAUAUGAUAAUACUGAUAUUCCUUUUGACAUAAUGAUUAAUGAAGUAAAAAAAUUAGUUACACGGUUACACUCUCUUGAAUUAUUUGUCGCUUUUGGCGACAUGUUUCGAACCCAUCGAGGGUCCUUCCUCAGGCUUGAGGGCUCGCAACGGCUGCACUCCGUGCAGUGCGCGCCUCCCCGCGCGCCUGACAGGGCGGGGCGGGGCGCGCGGGGUCCGCAGCCCGCAGCUGACUGUAACUAAAUAUUUUAGAAUAUGUCUCACGAAGGUUUAAGUUUGAUUAAUGAAGUAUGUGAAGAUUUCUUCACUAUCUUUCGGAGAAUAGUUAAUCGUGUAACAAAGUUUGCUGUAAAAUAACGUUAUUGAAUGUAAACGAUAUCUAAAGAUCUCCUCUUCUAAUAGGUUAUUGUGAAAUAACCUGAGGAUAGCUCAGAGAUGCCACCGUUUAUUCACUACUGCGGCCUCAUUAUUACUAAGACUAAGUUUUUCGCUGGAUACUGCAUUCUGAUCCCACUCCGAAUUCUCUGCCAUUUUUAAAUGUCAAUUUCGCUUGCAAAUACUUACCUUUUAUUUUACCCAUUUUACUAUAAAUAUUUUAUUUUAUUUUCCCCAUUUUAUAUUCAAAAUUGUAGUAUCCAGUGAAUAGACUUUGUAUAAAAUAAUUAUACACUGACAUUGUAAAUUUCAAUAAUUGUUGACGCAUAAUAUGUGGUUAUGACCGAUAGAUAUUAUUUAUAAAUGUUGCGCAAUGUGUUUUUUCUGUAAUUUUAUUUUCUCUUUUUUUAAUAAAAGAAAUGCCUUUUUAA